GCUUGAAGAGGAAAUAGAAUAUUCCUAGCACACGCAGGCUGAGACAGGAGGAUCGCUUGAGUCCAGGACUUCUGGGCUGUAGUGCACUGUGCCAAUUGGGUGUCCACACUAAGUUCGGCAUCAACAUGGUGACCUCCUGGAAGGCGGGGGCCGGGGGCACCAGGUUGAACCAGCCCAGUUUGGAAAUGGAGCAGGUCAAAGCUCCCAUGCUGAUCAGUAGUGGGAAGGUGCCAGUGAAUAGCCACUGCACUCCAGCUUGGGUAACAUAGUGAGACACUGAGACAC
rfam:Otolemur garnettii contig079057, whole genome shotgun sequence.